rnacentral:rRNA from 1 species
GAAUAUUGCGCAAUGGAGGGAACUCUGACGCAUCAACGCCGCGUGAAGGAAGAAGGCUUUCGGGUUGUAAACUUCUUUGAUCGGGGACGAAGAUGACGGUACCCGAGGAACAAGCCACGUCUAACUACGUGCCAGCAGCCGCGGUAAUACGUAGGUGGCAAGCGUUGGCCGGAAUUACUGGGUGUAAAGGGCGUGUAGGCGGGAGGACAAGUCAGAUGUGAAAGCCCAUGGCUUAACUGUGGAAUUGCAUCUGAAACUGUUUUUCUUGAGUGCUGGAGAGGAAAGUGGAAUUCCUAGUGUAGCGGUGAAAUGCGUAGAGAUUAGGAGGAACACCAGUGGCGAAGGCGGCUUUCUGGACAGUAACUGACGCUGAGGCGCGAAAGCGUGGGGAGCAAACA